GCCGGGUGUGGUGGUGCAUGCCUGUAAUCCCAGUGGCUCAGGAGGCUGAGGCAGGAGGAUCUCCAGUUCAAAGCCAGCCUCAGCAAAAAGCAAGGCACUAAACUAAACUCAGUGAGAUGCUGUCUCUA
rnacentral:sRNA from 1 species